GGACUACACGGGUAUCUAAUCCUGUUUGCUCCCCACGCUUUCGUGCCUGAACGUCGGUGCUGGACCAGGAAGCCGCUUUCGCCACUGAUGUUCCUUCCGAUAUCUACGCAUUUCACCGCUACACCGGAAAUUCCGCUUCCCUCUUCCGCACCCUAGCCUUGCAGUCUCGAAUGCAAUUCCCAGGUUGAGCCCGGGGAUUUCACAUCCGACUUACAAAACCGUCUACGCACGCUUUACGCCCAGUAAUUCCGAUUAACGCUCGCACCCUCUGUAUUACCGCGGCUGCUGGCAC
rnacentral:rRNA from 2 species